rnacentral:rRNA from 1 species
GACGUAGGUGGCGAGCGUUAUCCGGAAUUAUUGGGCGUAAAGGGUGCGUAGGUGGUCUGAUAAGUUAGCAGUGGUAAAUCGAGGCUCAACCUCGUGGAAACUGGUAAUACUGUCAGGCUUGAGUGCAGGAGAGGUUAACGGAACUCCCUGUGGAGCGGUAAAAUGUGUAGAUAUAGGGAAGAACAUCAAUAACGGCGAAGGCAGUUAACUAUUCUGCUACUGACAUUGAGGCACGAAAGCGUGGGGAGCAAAAAGG